GUGAUGUAUGAAAGGAGAGAAGUUUAGCACUCCUCUUGACAAGGAAGGAAGAGGCCCUUGGCCCUUACAACACACAGAGGGUUAAGGCAUUGCCACCUACUUUGUGGCAUCUAAAUACAGUCAAUU